rnacentral:rRNA from 1 species
GAUGAACGCUGGCGGCGUGCUUAACACAUGCAAGUCGAACGGUUAACUCGGAUCUUGCUCUGUGGGAUCAGUUGCGAACUGGUGAGUAACACUUUAGCAACCUGCCCCUGACUCUGGGAUAAGCUCUUGAAACGUCGUCUAAUACUGGAUAUGUUACGUGACCUCAUGUUCUGCUUUUGUAAAGAUUUUUCGUUUGGGGAUGGGCUCGCGGCCUAUCAGCUUGUUGGUGAGGUAAUGGCUCACCAAUUCGUCGACGGGUAGCCGGCCUGAGAGGGUGACCGGACAAACUGGGAAUGAGACACGGCACAGACUACAACGGGAGGCAGAAGUGGGGAAUAGUGCACAAUGGGAGGAAGCAUGAUGAAGCAAAGCAGCGUGAGGGAUGACGGCAUGCGGGUUGUAAACCUAUUUUAGCAGGGAAGAAGCGAAAGUGACGGUACCUGCAGAAAAAGCGCCGGCUAACUACGUG